UACGAAGGGGGCUAGCGUUGCUCGGAAUCACUGGGCGUAAAGCGCACGUAGGCGGAUUGCUAAGUCAGGGGUGAAAUCCUGGAGCUCAACUCCAGAACUGCCUUUGAUACUGGCGACCUUGAGUCCGGGAGAGGUGAGUGGAACUGCGAGUGUAGAGGUGAAAUUCGUAGAUAUUCGCAAGAACACCAGUGGCGAAGGCGGCUCACUGGCCCGGUACUGGACGCUG
rnacentral:rRNA from 1 species